rnacentral:rRNA from 1 species
CGACCGGCGCACGGGUGAGUAACGCGUAUGCAACCUGCCCGAUACCGGGGUAUAGCCCAUGGAAACGUGGAUUAACACCCCAUAGUACUUUUAUCCUGCAUGGGAUGUGAGUUAAAUGUUCAAGGUAUCGGAUGGGCAUGCGUCCUAUUAGUUAGUUGGCGGGGCAACAGCCCACCAAGACGAUGAUAGGUAGGGGUUCUGAGAGGAAGGUCCCCCACAUUGGAACUGAGACACGGUCCAA